UACACACAGUCUUCAGUUCUGUGUAUUUGCAGACGUCUUUCUUCCGUUGCCUGACCGCACGCUGGAAUGUUGUCCUUUGUAGACUCCCGAGUGUUAAGUUGCCUGUGUUUGAUUUAUUUGAAGGGAAUAAAGCUCAGGAAUAUGAUGGGUUUCGUAGAGGUGAAGGGGAAAGGAUCUGACUGAUUUUUCUAAGCAGAUGCUUGCCAACGUGUAAUGUCUUUUUGAAAACAAAUCUUGCAAGACAUAUCGAAAAGAUGAAGUCUGAAGAGGAUCACGUGACAGGUAUCAAAGCACUUUGUGCAGUGUAGACUCUAUGCAGUUUUACUAAUGCAACUUUUCUGGCGUUCUCAGCCAUUGCCCCCUGAGAGGAAGGCAAUGCUGGGGACAAAUCUUAAUGUUUCUUAAGGAUCUCCCGUAGCUGCCCUGUGCUCCCUCUCUGUCCCUGUAGAGCACAUGGACCCUUGGGGUUACUGUAUUUACUAAAGCGCUCUAUCUCUGAAGACAUCCUUUUUGUUGACUUAGAACAUUUUCCAGUGAAAUAUGGGGUGAAGAUGCUGGGGUGACAGCCAUGGAUUUGGGCUAGGAGAGUCGGUGUUAUGAUUUACAACCGCAAGCAGAGCUGCUUUGCUUCUGAUCUCAACGGACUCACUGGGUAAUGGUUAUUCAUGGUGGGGCCAAAGAGGCAUUUUUCAAAAGAGACAGCAAUUUCUGCUGAGAAGUUUGUGUAUUUGCUUGAAAAAGACUCUCUUUGAAUAUGGCUUUUGCAAAACAAUCCUAAAAUGCUGCGGAUUCACAAAGAGGUAAAGGGGGAGAAUUGCUGAGGCUGUUUACCAUUGGAGCCACAGUGUAGGACCUGUGUAACUGGGGACAGAUGCUGAGAUACCCUCAGUUAGAGAUUCUCAUUGCACGGGAAACUCAGUCGUUAGUUUCUUAUUAAAAGCAUUCAUCUUUGAGAGGACCAUUUGGUGCCUAAUGAAAAUGUGGGGGAGAAGAUAUGAAUGGAUGAGCGUGUUGUAUCUCCAGCGACACUUGGGAGGACUCUUCACCUCGCCUGUCUCUAACACGUGUGUUCCAAGGUCAGCUGGUGGUAGUUCUGUGUGACUAGGGAAACUUCUGGCUUGCAAAUGUGAAUGUCAUAACCAGCUAGGCUGUGGACCCGGCCACACAAAGACCGAGUUGACCUAUCCCCAUCCAUAGCUGGAAAAAGUUGUGUUUGCAAUCUUGCCUGCAAUUUAUUCUCACUGUAUAGCACAAAGGGUGUUGUGUCCUCGUGUCAAGAAUGAUUUAAGUUAUGGCUGUGCAGAGUCACACAUCGUUUUACUGUGCAUUGCUUGCAGGGCAAGUACAUAGAGAGCCAAUGUUCAUCGUGAAGUUGUAAAAUAAGUCAUUCUUUCCAGGUGCCUCUCACAGAGGCUUAAAUGGACAUUACCACUUGGAGUCUUGGGCACUAGCCUGCCAGCUCAUGACUGGGCACUCAACAUUCCGAAGGUGUAACUUGAUUUGGAACCCUGGAAUAUACCCAGGUUUUACCUUCCCAAUGUGGGUUAUGGAAACAAAAUGACCAAGACAAAAUCACUGUCGGGUGGAUGACCUAGGUAGUCUUUAUUGGAAGGGCUUUAAUUUUACCUGGUUUGUUCCUAAGUUCCCCAGAUUUGAAGUGUUCUCCAAUAUGGUGAACAGGUGCUACUUAAAAGAAAAUAUAACAAGAAAUUAGGGGACAUUUUGGUCAUCUGGCUUACUUAUUCAAGUUGUGUUUCUUUUUUUCCUGGAAAGUGACUUAAGGAGGUGUGAUCUUUAAUGUUAACAGAUGUUUUUUGGUUGGACAGAAGCCCCACUAGCUGUCCGGUUUUUUUGUUUGUGUGUUUGUUUUAUUUUUUACCUCUCAGUGUAAAAAUAAAUUCUGCCCCUCUAUCCACUUCCCUUUGCCCCUCGUCCCCACUCAUCAGGAUUAAGGAGCAGCAGCAGUGUGAUUUAAUCUGCCUAUGUCAGCUAGACAGAGGUAAGCUAUAUUGUCAGAGUUGACCAUUUUGUUGUUGUGACAUAAUGAAUUGUGAACAGUGAUGCUAUUGUUGAGGCCAUGAGCUAGCUACCUUGGUGACUGACCGCAGACCCAAGAACUUGAAUCAUAGCUGUAGUCUGGCUCUCCAGUGAGCCCGGCCUGUGUAUACUGUGGCAUUAGGUAUUAGGAUACGUUUGCUUGAAAUAGUUAGAGUUCAAGGAAGGGAAGAGCUAGGAAUUUUAGCUUCAUGGGUCUUGCCUAGGUUAUUUAAGAGAAAACAUAAGAUCAUAAGAAUGUAUAUAGCUGGGUAAUGGAUUAGUUGUAGAAAGCCCCUUACAAGAGAGCCUCUGAGGUUCGUAUUGGCUCCAUAUCACAUGCAUAUUCAUUUGUAGGCAAGACCUGAACUGAAGUCUUUCACCUUGCCUUAGAUGGUUCUUGCCGUUACGUUACUUUGGCUUUGUUUCUUUUUAAAACCCACAUUCCCUGAGAAAUCAGUCCAUGUGUCCGUCAGCACAUCCCCAGCCUCUCUCAAAGAGUGCUUGGAAUCUUCCACUCUUGCUCUCCAUGUCUGUUCAGCCCAGUCCAGACCAAUUCAAGAAUUUACUCUGUGCAAGGCACUGCUAGACUCUGAAUGAUACCAAGUCACCAAGACUCCAUAUUCUUUGUUUUUUAUCUUUUAAAGAAUCUAUGCCAUAUUAUCACUCCUUGCGUAUUUACUGAGCACCUAUCCUGUUCCUGGCCCUGAGAUCCACAGGAGAUCUAGAGGGUGAACAGAACAGACAUGGCACCCUGAUUUUAGGGCAUCCGCUUUUGCCCAGACUAAUGCAAUGGCUUCUUCUAAAUGCUUGGUCACUUCCCUGAUCCAUUCCACCCUACACCAUUAAUUUUUAAAAGAAUUUCUGGCCCUGAUGGGGUGCCAUAUUGCCUCAGGAUGAGGGUCACUCUCUGGGCCCUGGUAUUCUCAGCUCUUCCUUCUUCAUCUUGUUUCCUGGGACGUCUCCCAGGGCUUCUCCAUAUGAGCCAUCCAGUGCAUCCUGGUUGGUCUCCUUGCCAUUGCCUAAACAUGCCUCAUGUCCCCACUCUGCUUCUGCUUCUGCUAGCCUCCCUCCUGAAAGCCCUGCCCUUCCUGUCCACUGGCCCAACUCAUGCCCACCUCCCAAGGCCCAACUUCAUCAGUUCUGCAAGAAGACUUCCCAGCUCAUUAUAAUCUCCCCUUCCUCUAGAAACACAGCACACAUCGUUGGCUUCCCUGCUGGCUGCAUGGGAAAGGUAUGCCUAGAAAGCAGGCCACCACACACUAGAAAGUAGUGCUUUUAAACUGUUUGCGUCAGGGAUUCCUUUGAUAAUCUAAUGAAAGUCCUAUACCUUAUUACCAGAAAAAUACAUAUAUGCAAAUAUACAAAAUUUUACAUGUAACUUCGGAUUUAGAGACCUGAAAUCAUCCAUGGAUUCUUUAGGGGGCUCAUGGACCCCAGUGGAAGAAGCCUUCUAAAGAGUCUUUAAAAGCUACUGUUGUUAGUGUUCAUUCUUUCUUGCCUUUGACAUAUGCAGAGAGAAGAAAAUUGGUAUGGGAUGUGCAUGCAAAAGCAAUCUCUGUUAUUAUCCGUGUUGGGUGUGUGUUGAGUGACAGGGAAGGAAGGAAGAAGAGCUGUCUUACGUUAAUUGAGAGAAUAUCUUUGUUUUGACAGGCUUGGCAUUUUGAAACUGACAAGGUUUUAUUGUUAUUGUUCUUGGUUAUCUGUUAACCAUCCAAAAAGUUGGUUUAUCAAAAUUAAUUCAGGGCCAGGUAAGCUUCAUUUCAGGCCUCAAACCCACCACUUCAGCAGGAGUAGGCUUUGGCCUAGGAUUAUUAAGGUAGGAGAGAAGAGGCUGGAUUUUUCCUUACAGGAAAAAGAUCGGCACAGUCAAGUUUUCCUGUAUUCAUCAUUCAUUAAUUCAUUCGUAGGAUAACUGUUGAGUGUAUUUUCAAUAAAAGGAUGGUGCCUUUGUUGAUAGGUAACUACUCAGGUUCUUCUUUGUCGUCGUCGUCGUCUUCUUCUUCUUCUUUUUGUUUUUUUACAGGGUGAAGUUAUUUUUAUUGCUCCUGACUAUGAUCCAGGAUCCUUUGUUCUCCUUUAUGUGCAGUGCUGUUUAAGUUGAACAAGAACCAGUGAAAAUACAUUCGAUGACAAAUACUUCCAAGUCUGAAUGCUGAACUCUGGCAACACAUCUUUAAUAGGUCCAGCCAUCAAUUAAUGUGUGAUUGUGGAGUGCUUGACCUUUUUUCAGUUGCUUCCAGUGGUGAAACUGGGUGAAGUUUGAAAGGAUCCCCUUGGUAGGUGGGGCAGGAGGUCCCUCUUUCCCAGAGUUCUUUUGCUAGUACCAGGAGUAAAUGUCAACAGAUGAUGAAUAUUUUCUUCAUUUGAAUUCCUUACCAGAAACUUGAGUUUUUAGUCCCUGAAUUUAAAGGAUAUCCUAAAGACAUUUAAAGUUCCAGGGGCGCCUGGGUGGCUCAGUUGGUUAAGCGUCCAAUGUCAGCUCAGGUCAUGAUUUCGCUGUUCCUGAGUUCAAGCCCUGGGUCAGGCUCUGUGCUGACUGCUCAGAGCCUGGAGC
rnacentral:lncRNA from 1 species